UUCAAUGAAAUCUCUAUCAAAACACCAAUGGUGCUCUCUAUUGUCUUCUCUGCACUGGGAGCAGCUCUCCUGCUAUGGCCCUUCAGCCCCUGAAAAUGUACACGUGUGCCAAGUUCGUCUCCAUCCCCUCCUUGAUCAGGAGAACCUCUCCACUAAUAAGCCGAUCACUGUCUGCAGUGGUGCUGAAACGACUGGAGAUGCUGACAGAUGAGAGCCACAGCAGCUUGGCAGCCCCGAGUCCCCUGACCACCUCACUUAUUCCUAGUAACUGCUUCCAAACCAGUGCCAUUUCGAGGGACACUGGCACAGCAGACAAGUUCACUGGAGCUGGGGCUGCCACAGUAGGGGUGGCUGGCUCUGGGGCUGGAAUUGGGACUGUGUUUGGGAGCUUCAUCAUUGGUUAUGCCAGGAACCCUUCUCUGAAGCAACAGCUCUUCUCCUACACCAUUCUGGGCUUUGCCUCUCGGAAGCCAUGGGACUCUUUUGCCUGAUGGUGGCCUUUCUCAUCCUCUUCACCAUGUGAAGGGGCUGUUUCCACCUCCCACAGUUCUUUCUCCCAUGUCUUGUCUGCCCUGUAUGUUCCUUUUCCUGUACCA